AGAAGAUGACAUCUCCUCUUCGCAACCCUAGCCGUUCUGAUUCCACUCCCCACGCGAUUGAGCUGAGAAACGGUAGUCGUUAUGGCACUCAAGCCUCAAUACCCACUACUUCAUCUUCAAUGCUUCUUUGCUUCUUCUUUAAGCUCCAGCAGCGUAUAUAUAUAUAGAGGGUUUAACAGUCUUCGCAGCCAUCUAUUUGGUCCGCCUUUAGCAUAUAACCCUAAAUGUCUCUCACCAAUAUCCGAUAAUGGCUAAGCAAGAACUCCAUUUUUCUGAGCUCGAGGCAGGCCGGUGUAGGAACUUCGUUGUAACAAGUCUCCUUCGCUUCUGGGAACCUCGCAAUGUAAAGAAAGGUGGAGAGUUGUUGGAUGUCGAUCUGGUCGUGCUAAUGGAAAGUCAACUCUGAUCCAGGGGUCAAUCAGCGUGAAAGCAGGGACCUUAUCCUGAUGGAUUUUUCCGCUUCUGCAGUUACGACCAGUUCAUGUUGAUUGCCAGGCAGUCCUGAAUUCCUAAGUUCUCAACUUCCAACCGCAGUAAAAUUCUAAGUACUACGGAUACGUUUGACUCUGAUGUGUUCGCUCUUCUCAUAAAGACAUGGAAUUGCACAUCCAGUUUAUACUUCUCAAGGGUCACAUAAACUGAGGGUUUGUGUUGGGAAAGAGCGUGCUAGAAGCUUUUGGAUUGGAAAAAGGAAACAAAGGGAGAUAGUACCAAUGACGAGGGCCGGGUCAGUUCAGUGGAAUAGUUUUGUGGUGAAAAAAGCCAGGACAGGCUGCUAUCUUGACCAAAUUGUGAUAUACAACAAAUUUGUUUCGUGCAGUCUAUUACAUCAGAUGAUCAGAGAAACAACAGCUCACAUGUGAGAACUGAAACAGAGACAAAUGUCUCACCAAUGGCAUUUUUGGAGGCUCUCCUUCUGCACAUCUUAACAUAUUUGUAUUGAAGUAUAUUACUAUCAGUCUUCUUCCCAAGAAUGUCUUUAUUUUUGUUCAAGAAAUGUUCUUACUAAUCUGUGCUUCUGUUUUAUCUCUUAAGAAUAUUUUGUUUUAUGAAUGCUUUUCCUUUUUUUGAGUGAUAGCUAUAAGCACAAGUUGUGAAAUAUUUUUUAGAUGACAUGUAUUUAGAUGACUAUUAAACUC